AGUGAACGCUGGCGGUAGGCCUAACACAUGCAAGUCGAACGGCAGCACAGUAAGAGCUUGCUCUUACGGGUGGCGAGUGGCGGACGGGUGAGGAAUACAUCGGAAUCUACUUUUUCGUGGGGGAUAACGUAGGGAAACUUACGCUAAUACCGCAUACGACCUACGGGUGAAAGCAGGGGAUCUUCGGACCUUGCGCGAUUGAAUGAGCCGAUGUCGGAUUCGCUAGUUGGCGGGGUAAAGGCCCACCAAGGCGACGAUCCGUAGCUGGUCUGAGAGGAAGAUCAGCCAGAUGGGAACAGAGAAACGUCCCAGACACCUACAGGAGGCAGCAGUGGGGAAUAUUGGACAAUGGGGGAAAGCCUGAUCCAGCCAUACCGGGUGGGUGAAGAAGGCCUUCGGGCUGUAAAGCCCUUUUGUUGGGAAAGAAAAGCAGCAGGUUAAUACCCCGCUGUUCUGACGGUACCCAAAGAAUAAGCACCGGCUAACUUCGUG
rnacentral:rRNA from 1 species